AUUGAACGCUGGCGGCAGGCCUAACACAUGCAAGUCGAACGCGUGGCGCACGGGUGAGUAAUGUCUGGGAGACUGCCCGUUGGAGUGGGAGAAAUACUGGGGACGCUAGCUAAAACCCCGUACCCUCGGAUGUGCCCAGAUGGGAUUAUCUUGUAGGUGAGGUAACGGCUCACCUAGGCGACGAUGCCUCGCUGGUCUGAGAGGAUGUUCAGCCACACUGGAACGGAGACACGGUCCAGACUCCUACGGGAGGCAGCAGUGGGGAAUAUUGCACAAUGGGCGCAAGCCUGAUGCAGCCAUGCCGCGUGUAUGAAGAAGGCCUUCGGGUUGUAAAGUACUUUCAGCGGGGAGGCGUUACCCGCAGAAGAAGCACCGGCUAACUCCGUGCCAGCAGCCGCGGUAAUAC
rnacentral:rRNA from 1 species